AGAGUUUGAUUCUGGCUCAGAACGAACGCUGGCGGCGUGGUUCAGGCAUGCAAGUCGAACGAUCUCGCAAGAGAUAGUGGCAGAAGGGUUAGUAACACGUGGGCAAUCUACCCCCGAAUCGGGGAUAACAUUUCGAAAGAAGUGCUAAUACCCGAUGACACCCAAUCCUCGCAUGAGGGAUGGGUCAAAGGUAGCUUCGCAAGGAGCUUCCGUUUGAGGAGGAGCCCGCGGCCUAUCAGCUAGUUGGUGAGGUAACGGCCCACCAAGGCUUUUGACGGGUAGCUGGUCUAAGAGGACGAUCAGCAACAUUGGGACUGAGACACUGCCCAGACUCCUACGGGAGGCUGCAGUCGAGGAUCUUUAGCAAUGCCCGAAAGGGUGACUAUGCGACGCCGCGUGGAGGACGAAGGCCUUCGGGUUGUAAACUCCUGUCAGGGGGGAAGAAACUUUACCGGUUAAGAGCUGGUAAACUGACAUCACCCCCAAAGGAAGCCACGGCUAACUCUGUGCCAGCAGCCGCGGUAAGACAGAGGUGGCAAGCGUUGUUCGGAUUCAUUGGGUGUAAAGGGCAGGUAGGUGGUCAUGUAAGUCCGGUGUGAAAUCCCACGGCUCAACCGUGGAACUGCAUUGGAAACUGCGUGACUUGAGUGCCGGAGAGGUGAGGGGAAUUCUCGGUGUAAGGGUGAAAUCUGUAGAUAUCGAGAGGAACACCAGUGGCGAAGGCGCCUCACUGGCCGGUUACUGACACUGAGCUGCGAAAGCUAGGGGAGCAAACAGGAUUAGAUACCCUGGUAGUCCUAGCCGUAAACGAUGAGGACUAGGUGUCGGUUCGCAAGGAUCGGUGCCGAAGUUAACACAUUAAGUCCUCCACCUGGGGAGUACGUCCGCAAGGAUGAAAC
rnacentral:rRNA from 1 species